AGAUCCCGAGUUUGGAAGAUAAAAUGAAAUGUUGCGUGUAUGGCGUGUGUAAUUCCGACAACGGAGAUCCAAAAAAGUUGGAGGGAGGGGUUACAUUUCAUUCCUUCCCAAAACCAAAGACCGAGAUGGAGAAAUGCCUGCUGUGGACUAAACAAUGUGGACUACCCCACCACCAGCAGCAUGUAAACAGAAGCCACUAUGCAAGCUAAGGGUACGAGGAGAGAGCUCAAACUCCACUGAACACAUGAACACUGUGGAACAAAGUGCUUCAAACACCAGUGACCAUGAUCCCACCACUGAUCAUGGAGAUGAGCUUCAGAUGUUGAGGGACAUGGUGGCCACUCAGAAGGCUGAGAUAAACAAGCUGACCGUACAACUAGAGGCAAAGGAUGUCCAGCUCCAACAACUUAGAUACAAACUCCAUUUACACACUACUUUGGUGUUAAAACCAGAGUCUGUGCAUGAAAGUGAUGUGUUAGGCUAUUUCCAGUAGGCUACUGUGCUUGAUUCACCUAUGAGCAGUUUAAUACCUUGUAUGAGUUCAACAUUUCAAAUAAUCCAGGUACAGUGGCACACCAGACCGUCCUUUGUGUAGUGAACUGUUAUUGACACUGAUGACAUUUAGACAAGUAUAUGGUUACAAAAGAUUCAUUCAGAUUCCACAUCAGUUUACAGAAUGUGAGCACAAUAUUUAAUCAGUCAACAUCAGUCCUGACUCCUGAGUGUGUUUAUUGUGUAUUAUGUAUUGAUUAUUUUAUUAUUGUGUAUUAAAUGCCAUCCAUCAUCA